CCUACGGGAGGCUGCAGUGAGGAAUAUUGGUCAAUGGGCGGGAGCCUGAACCAGCCAAGUCGCGUGAGGGAAGACGGUCCUAUGGAUUGUAAACCUCUUUAGGCGGGGAGCAAUGCCGGGCACGCGUGCCCGGAGGGAGAGUACCCGCAGUAUAAGCAUCGGCUAACUCCGUGCCAGCAGCCGCGGUAAUACGGAGGAUGCGAUCUUUAUCCGGAUUUAUUGGGGUUAAAGGUUUCGUAGGCGGAUUUUUAAGUCAGCGGUAAAAUGUCCGGGCUCAACCCGGGCCGGCCGUUGAAACUGGUGAUCUAGAGUGUGCGAGAGGUAUGUGGAAUGCGUGGUGUAGCGGUGAAAUGCAUAGAUAUCACGCAGAACCCCGAUUGCGAAGGCAGCAUACCGGUGCACAACUGACGCUCAGGCACGAAAGCGUGGGUAUCGAACAGGAUUAGAUACCCUAGUAGUC
rnacentral:rRNA from 1 species